UACAGAGGUCUCAAGCGUUGUUCGGAUUCAUUGGGCGUAAAGGGUGCGUAGGCGGCGCGGUAAGUCGGGUGUGAAAUUUCGAGGCUUAACUUCGAAACUGCAUUCGAUACUGCCGUGCUUGAGGACUGGAGAGGAGACUGGAAUUCCUGGUGUAGCGGUGAAAUGCGCAGAUAUCAGGAGGAACACCGGUGGCGAGGGCGGGUCUCUGGGCCGAUACUGACGCUGAGGAGCGAAAGCGUGGGGAGCGAACAGG
rnacentral:rRNA from 1 species